rnacentral:rRNA from 1 species
CUUAAUGAAUGCGAGUCGAGCGUGAUCCAGUGGAGUGCUUGCACGAAUCUGGUGAAAGCGGCGAACGGGUGAGUAACACGUGGGUAACCUGCCCUGCAGACGGGCACAACAGCUGGAAACGGCUGCUAAUUCCCGAUAGUCUGCAGCACCGCAAGGUGCUGCAGUAAAGGUUGAUUCCGCUGCAGGAUGGGCCCGCGGGCCAUUAGCUUGUUGGUGGGGUAAAGGCCUACCAAGGCGACGAUGGCUAGCCGGUCUGAGAGGACGAUCGGCCACACUGGGACUGAGACAUGGUCCAGACUCCUCCGGGAGUUAGCAUCAGGGAAUCUUGCGCAAUGGGCGAAAGCCUGACGCAGCGACGCCGCGUGAGGGAUGAAGGUCUGCGGAUCGUAAACCUCUGUAAGCAGGGACGAAUGCCCGAUUCGGUCGGGAGUGACGGUACCUGCAGAGUAAGCUCCGGCUAACUACGUGCCAGCAGCCGCGGUAAUACGUAGGGAGCCAGCGUUGUCCGGAUUUACUGGGCGUAAAGAGCGCGUAGGCGGUUUGGUAAGCGGAGGGUGAAAUCCCAGGGCUCAACUCUGGGGCUGCUCUCCGAACUGUCAGACUAGAGUACGGGAGAGGACAGUGGAAUUCCUGGUGUAGCGGUGGAAUGCGUAAAUAUCAGGAGGAACACCCGUGGCGAAGGCUGCUGUCUGGAACGUUACUGACGCUGAGGCGCGAAAGCUAGGGGAGCGAACGGGAUUAGAUACCCCGGUAGUCCUAGCCGUAAACGAUGGACACUAGGUGUUGGAGGCAUCGACCCCUUCAGUGCUGUUCUGCUAACGCGUUAAGUGUCCCGCCUGGGGAGUACGGCCGCAAGGUUGAAACUCAAAUGAAUUGACGG